CCUGGUUAAGUCUAGUCCUCUCUGACAUCACACACCAUAGAGGAAAGCAGCCCCACACAGUUUUCUUCAAGGAGGGUAGAGAAUGUGUAUAGAUGAUUCAGGAUCAAGGAAUGGAAAUUACAACAGACACACACAUGAGACACUGAAAACAAAAAUCCCUCUGAGUUCAUUGGCUACAGAGACAGCAGAAAAUUCCUGAGUGGAGCUGAGAGCGGAGACUCCUGCGGCUGAUGGCAGGAAGCCACUGGCAGAGCCAUCAGGAAGUGAAGGCAGGCGCAGCGCAAGGCUCUGCUGUGUCUGUUUACCAAGUUCUGCGGGCCUCACCAACCAUCAUGUAGUCUUUUUAUGGAAAAUAGAUAAACAGCAUGCGUCACUGUGGCUAUUUCACUUUAUCAGAGGAGGAGAAGAAAGAGUUCCAUGAACUGCAGAUAGACCCUGACGAGGUUAAAAUGUCAGCAUGAGAAUGUGUUGUCAAGAUACACCGUGAUGGCUGUGCUAGCGCCUAAGUCAGAAGGUGGGAGAAAACUCGAGGGCAAAGAUCACAGUGUCACAAUGUUAAAAAAUUUAGAUUUUAAUUUUAAAAAAAUGGAAAGAGAAAUGAGUUUGGAGUCACUCAGAACUGGAUCAGAAUCCUGGCUGCACCACUUACAAAGACAAUCCUUUAUCUUUGUAUCCUUUGUCUUAAUCCUUGAUGAAUGUCCAUUUUCUCAUCUUUAAAAUGUACCUAAUAACACCCACCACAAAGAACUUCUAGAAAUAUUAAAUAAACUAAUGUAUGCAAAAUGCCUGGCAGGUUAUA